rnacentral:snRNA from 1 species
AUCGCUUCUCAGCCUUUUGGCUAAGAUCAAGUGUAAAAACCAUUGCAAACUUUUAAUAAGCUUGCUUUUUUAAUUGUCAUUCAUUUUCCUUUAGUGAAUGAAACUUCCCCAAAGCCAACACGUUUUCUUCUUCCUUCCCCAUCUUUCUUCUGUUUUAUGGGAAAGAAACCAC